rfam:Facklamia languida CCTG 37842 genomic scaffold supercont1.1, whole genome shotgun sequence.
GCGGUUGUGGCGAAGUGGUUAACGCAUCGGUUUGUGGAUCCGACAUUCGUGGGUUCGAUUCCCAUCAGCCGCC